rnacentral:lncRNA from 1 species
GAUUUUGAUGGAUGUCGUUGAUGAAAAGCCUCGACCUCUUUUUUUGCAUUGGCAAGAUUCUUUACUAGCUCUUAUGUGCAUUCAUUAAUAUCAUAUCCAUGCUAAUGGACAAGAUAUUCUAAUUUAUUUUGGUACUGUCGUAAUACAUGAAGACUUGCUUGAAAAUGCUUCGAGCACCUAACUAUGGAAGGUAGAAUGGAAAUUAAAACAAAAAAAUGCUAAUUCUAAUAAAAUAAUAACUAAAUUCUAAUUAGACCAUAAUAAUUCUAAGUAAACUUUAAUCAAAUUCAAAAAAAUCAGAAAAAAAUUAUAAAGAAACAAUAAGAGAUCUUAAAGAAAUAUUAGAAUUAUCACAAAUAUAUUUCAAAUCAUCUCAAUUCAAUCUUAAUUUAAUCCUAGUUAAAAUCCUAUUGGACUUCAUUCAAAUUUUAGGCCAAAAACUAAUUAAUUCUUAAAUCCUAAAUAAAUUCAAAUAAAAUUCUAAAUUCUAAAUCAAAUCCUAAUUCUAAAUCAAGCCCUAAUUAAAUCCUAAAUCCUAAAUCAAAUCCUAAUUCUAAAUCAAACCUAAUUAAAUCCUAAUUCUAAAUCAAAUCCUAAUCAAAUCUUAAUUUUAAAUCAAAUUUUAACUAAAUAUUAAUCCUAAAUCAAAUCUUAAUCAAAUCCUAACCCUAAAUCAAAUCCUAACCAAAUUCUAAUUCUUAAUCAAAUCCUAAUCAAAUCCUAAUCCUAAAUCAAACUCUAACCAAAUCUUAAACCAAAUCCUAAAUCCUAAAUCAAAUCCUAGUAAUUCUUAUAACAGAUUUACUCCUCAGUUAUUGAAAAAUAAGUACUUUGAAGUCACAAUA